rnacentral:rRNA from 1 species
AGUUAUACCGUGAAACUGCGAAUGGCUCAUUAAAUCAGUUAUUGUUUAUUUGAUAGUACCUUACUACUUGGAUAACCGUGGUAAUUCUAGAGCUAAUACAUGCUAAAAGCCCCGACUUCGGAAGGGGUGUAUUUAUUAGAUAAAAAACCAAUGCCCUUCGGGGCUCCUUGGUGAUUCAUAAUAACUUAACGAAUCGCAUGGCCUUGUGCCGGCGAUGGUUCAUUCAAAUUUCUGCCCUAUCAACUUUCGAUGGUAGUGUAUUGGACUACCAUGGUUUCAACGGGUAACGGGGAAUUAGGGUUCUAUUCCGGAGAGGGAGCCUGAGAAACGGCUACCACAUCCAAGGAAGGCAGCAGGCGCGCAAAUUACCCAAUCCCGACACGGGGAGGUAGUGACAAUAAAUACUGAUACAGGGCUCUUUUGGGUCUUGUAAUUGGAAUGAGUACAAUUUAAAUCCCUUAACGAGGAACAAUUGGAGGGCAAGUCUGGUGCCAGCAGCCGCGGUAAUUCCAGCUCCAAUAGCGUAUAUUAAAGUUGUUGCAGUUAAAAAGCUCGUAGUUGAACCUUGGGCCUGGCUGGCCGGUCCGCCUCGCCGCGUGCACUGGUCCGGCCGGGUCUUUCCUCCUGGGGAGCCGCAUGCCCUUCACUGGGUGUGUCGGGGAACCAGGACUUUUACUUUGAAAAAAUUAGAGUGUUCAAAGCAGGCCUAUGCUCGAAUACAUUAGCAUGGAAUAAUAGAAUAGGACGUGUGGUUCUAUUUUGUUGGUUUCUAGGACCGCCGUAAUGAUUAAUAGGGAUAGUCGGGGGCAUCAGUAUUCAAUUGUCAGAGGUGAAAUUCUUGGAUUUAUUGAAGACUAACUACUGCGAAAGCAUUUGCCAAGGAUGUUUUCAUUAAUCAAGAACGAAAGUUAGGGGAUCGAAGACGAUCAGAUACCGUCGUAGUCUUAACCAUAAACUAUGCCGACUAGGGAUCGGGCGAUGUUAUUUUUUUGACUCGCUCGGCACCUUACGAGAA